UGUACAGCUGAAAUUAGAAUCUUUAACAAUUAUUAAAGUGUACACUUUCUUAUGGAUGUCUAUAACUCCAUGUGGAUGUCUAUGUACAUAUAUAACUACAAGUCACACUAUGCAAAAUGAAGAUUUCUACAUGUAUGAUUUGAUAAACGAGCAGAAACAGUAAAAAGCUAUUAAAAUACGCUUAUAUGUAGGUAGGUACAUAUUAGCGUAUUUCAAUAGCUUUUUACUGACCUCAUGAUUAUUUCAUGAAAAAAUAACAUUUGUCCUGGUUUUAUGUUAGUAUACUGGCCACUGAUAAAAGAAUAAAUGACAAUGUGUUCUUAGUUUAAAUAUUUUUUCCCAUAUUGACAGAUAAGAUUGCGGCCGAUUGUCUUUAACAUAUAAAAUUACGAUUUGUUAUUUUGGAAGUUCAAUAUAAUUAUUUUCAUUACCACUACACGCUAGUUUUAAUUUAUUAUAGACAAACUAUUUGAACAACAUUAAUUUUCAAUAAUCUUCCACAACAUUCUCGAAGCAGUCAGCGAGGAUGUUGAACUGGCAGAUUAGGUGCAACAGAUAGGUUUGCAUCCUGACAUCCACGAUCAUCACGAAGUGGGAGAUGAAGUAGAACACUACGACCAGGAUCACAAAGCUAUCAUAUGUAUCACUAUGACAUUGAGGGAAGCUGCGACGUCGUCAAAGUCUUCAGGCUCCAAAAUAGCAUGAGUCACUUCAAACGCAAACAAGAGUGAUACAAAUAACUUGACGAUAGUACUG